UAGGCUGCAACUCGCCUACACGAAGUCGGAAUCGCUAGUAAUCGCGCAUCAGCCAUGGCGCGGUGAAUACGUUCCCGGGCCUUGUACACACCGCCCGUCAAGCCAUGGGAGCCGGGGGCGCCUGAAGUCCGGGACCGCGAGGACCGGCCUAGGGCGAAACUGGUGACUGGGGCUAAGUCGUAACAAGGUAAC
rnacentral:rRNA from 1 species